CCCAAUCUAAUUAACAAAUGGCUCCCAUCUUAUCUCAUCCUGGAGCUUUGGCUAAUUAAGUCAGACGGCCAAUGUUCAGAGCCGACCUGUUUACAUCUCUGUUCUUCGCUCCAUCUGAUUGAUACGGACAAGCAUAUAUUCUUGGCGAUUUGCAUGCGACUUGAUUAAUUAACUUUCGUAUUAUCAUUAUCAUCAUCAUGUUGUACGUAUUCGCGUACAAACUACAGUAGAAUCUCUGUUUUUUUUCUUCAGAGAUAAAUUAAGCUUCAGAACAUACAGCUACAGGAGCUUAACAAUUGGCUGAAACUGACCGAUUCCUUCAAACUUUAAUGUUGUUUUUCUCUUUCAUUACUAGCUGUGAGCUAGAUGAUUGAACACGGCAUAACAAGGUAUCUAUAGACGUUUAGCAUACGGCUAUACCCUACAUUGCAACUUUAACAAAAGCGCAGGUUCUCUGAAUAUUUUUGAACCUUUAGGUAGACAGUCCAUUUCAUGUACAAAAUUGAAGUUUCACAGUUUUUUUUAGAGUACAACACAGACGCUCACUCCACUCUUCCCUAAGAGUGCACACACGCAAACCCUACUCCUAUAAGCCUGACCCUGAAAGCACAUAGCCGUUAUAAAAUAUUGGAAUAUUCGCUCGAACAAGAAGUCGAACCCAGAACCUUAAAUACUACUCAGGCCCUUAUAACCACUAGACUACAGGCCCUUUCGCUU
rnacentral:lncRNA from 1 species